rnacentral:tRNA from 1 species
ACCUGGGUGGCUCAGUCGGUUAAGUGUCUGACUUCGGCUCAGGUCAUCAUCUCACAGUUUGUGGGUUUGAGCCCCACAUCAGGCU